AUGACUAAGAAGGCCGAUGUUGACUUAUGCCAGCCAUCUAACCCAGAGAAAACAGCUGAGACAAGAGUUCCUCCAGGAAAAAAAGCACUAAGUCAGAGGUUUUAUGUGCUGUUGAUAGUGGCAGCCAAUUCUGGUACCUCUUCAAAUUACUGUGCAAACUCACCACUGAGCUUUGGAGAGGGCACCCGUCUAACAGUGCUUGAGAAGACCAAUGAAAUCAAACCACCGACUGUGGCCAUCUUUUCACCAUCAAAGCAAGAGAUUCAACAGAAGAAGAAGGCCACACUGGUGUGUCUGGCCUCCGGUUUCUACCCUGAUAACCUCAAUUUAGUCUGGAAGGUGAAUAGCAAGAAGAGAACAGAAGGAGUGGGAACAGAUGAAAUUUCCACAUCAAAUGGGAGCACUUACUCAUUGACCAGCAGACUGAGAAUCUCAGACCAAGAGUGGUUCAACCCUCUGAAUCGUUUUGAAUGUAUUGCCGAAUUUUUUAAGAAUGAAAGCCAACCAAUACAUAAAUUCAUCUAUGGUGAUACUGGCUGUGAUAUCUUCAGAGAAAACUAUCAGAGAAGUGCUACAGCGGGGAAGUUUGUAUACAUAAUGCUCAUUUUCAAGAGCAUUUUGUAUGGGAUAUUUGUGAUGGGGAUGAUGCUUUGGUACAAGGUGAGGAUCGAAGUUCUUCCACUCUGUACAUAUUUAUCGUAAAUCAUUCUAACUGUACGUGAGGAAACUUUGGACAAAGCGAGGUCUUGCAACUGAUAUUUAUAUAAAUCUAUCUCUCUUAAACACAAUUGAAUAUCUUCUUAAUUUUAAGAGAAAAAGCUAGCAAGGAUGAAGGGAAGGGCUUUAGGAAAAAAAUAAGGAAAUAUGACAGGGAGUUAUUGAAAAAGACAAUUAAUUAAGUAUUACCAAAAUGUAUGGUCUUUUUAAAGACAAGAAAAAAACGAAAAAUAGGAAUGUGAAACAACACAUAAGAAAAAUAAGAAAGAAUUCA